AGGAUGCUCUUGGGAACCGAGAGCUCUGGAUAAGGCUGAUUUCUAUGGCAUUUCUUAUUGAAACAAUCAAAACCAAAACUCAACAAAUCUAUUAACAACUUGUGAUACAAAAGAUCAGUGCAGUCCAAAAAUCCCAAUAAAGGAAUUCCAGUUCAGAGCCAAGCUGCUAGAUCAGGAUACAUUACAAAGGGCCCUGGGAAACUCAGCUUUUCUUCAGGGAGCAUGGGGCCAGCUGCUGCUUGUGAAGCAUUUGAAGGAUGUAGACAGUGAAGUCAGGGACCACUUUAUGCCAGUAUUUCCCUAUGGCUCAAGCUCAUGAGCAAGUUCCAGCUGAGUCACUUGCACUUCUUGGGCCAGGUAGUCUGUGUAGCAGCCCAUAUGUAUGUAGGUGCCAUACAGAUGAGGAUAUUAUUUUAUCUCUCCUUUAGGACUGGGAAAAAUGCGAAGUCAAUACAAAGUGCUUUCAUUUUGUGCCUUGUAAGAGAGAUUCCAGAGAACAGUUUUUCAAGAAGGCUUUGGUACCUUUAGCUCUUAUUCCUUGUGUGUACUCUACUCAGGCUCUUCAUAGAGGAUACAUUUUAUUUUCCUUUGCAUGUACACAUUGGGACAGCUCCAAGGCCAGUAAGAAUGUUUUUAAUUCCAGAGGGAUUGAGGUAUUUUUCAUCUAUGUUGAAUACUGUGUCUUUUUUUUGAGAAUCUGACUGGUGCAGCCCUUUCUGCUUCGGAAUAAUAAAUAUGCUUAGAAGCAAAUAAGCUGUUAUUAGCUGAAUUUUCAUCUCAUAAUUUUUUUUCUCUGAUAUUUUCAGCAAAGUCUGAGAUGCUGGUCUUGCUCUUAAGGUUCUUAGAUAAUUUGGUAAUUGACUAAACUUCUUCACACCAGUAUUACUUAGAAUUUCCAAUGUUGAAAAAUUCUUAGAUUUGAGAGGACCUAUGAGCAUCUAUGGACUUUGGAAAAGUGCUUCUGUUUCAUGGAUUUGUUUUCAUUUAAGAUACAAUCAGCAUAUUUGAGGGGGAUAUUUUCUGCUGUCUGUUUACAGGAAUAUCAAAUGCACCCUGAGAGCAGGAUAAAUGCUUGCAAAUCUUUUAUUGAACAUGAAUAGGAGAAGGAAAUAAUUGUAAAUGAAAUGUGCAAAACAAAUUAUGCUUCUCAAUCCAACUGGAACCAUGCUUGACAUUCAUGCAGCAAUCACUUCCUUGUUACAAUCAAUAUAUACAAUAAAAAAAUCUAGAAGCAGUGAAUUUAGCAAUAGGGAUCUCAUGAGUAGCCUUUUCUUUGCAAAGAACAGCUCUGUGUCACUUUUGACUGACAGCCUUUGCUUUAUAAAGAAUAGAUUGGAAAAAUCUGUGUGGAAGAAAAGUGUCUUUGAAGUGCACUGCUCCAGUUUGCAUUUUCUUGUUUUUCACUUGCAAGCUCA